rnacentral:lncRNA from 1 species
AUAUUGAGUUGCUUCACUUCUGUGGCUUUUUUUUCCCUGGUAACAUAUAUUUAUUUAAGCAAUGUUGUAUGCCUUGUCUUCAUUUCUAUAGAGAUUGUAUUGUAUGUGUUUGUGUAAGCUGGAAUCAUCCUUAAUUUUCUGUUGCUAAUUUUUCAAAUGAAUUUACAUGAAUAACUGUAAAAUACACUAACUCUUAGGGUGUUAUAGCUGAAACACGGAGAUGUGUAGCUGCCAUGCUUUUUCUGAAUGGACAGGAGAAACAUAAGCUACCAAGUAUUCAUUUCUGAGGGUGCUUUGUAGGGAAAGAAAGGCUGGCACUUCCUCAGAACCCUCUGUCUUGUUAACGGGUAUCUUUUGUUGGUGUGUUUUGCUCUUACAUUACAGAUAGAAUAUCGUGUGUGAGCUGAUGAAUAAUUACUUUCAGUUAUUUUGCUUUUGUAUAAGCCAUCUGAGACCUUGCUAUGCUGUAUAAGUUGUGUGACGGAGCAGUGUGAGUAUGAAAUAAAGCAGAUCACUUUCCUUUUGUAUUAUCUAUGGAUGCCACUAUGAACGCUGACAUUAAGCCACUCAAGAGUUUUCUAUGAAUAAGUGUAAGUAAAUGCUUUGAUAUAUAUAAACCUAAAUAAAAGAUUGUAUUGAGACAGAGACAUUGGCAAAGGAAGUUUUAAGGCAGUUCUUUAGGUGUAAAAGGCUUGCUGUAAAAUGGUGCGUUAUUCCACUUAUUAAAGAUCAUAUUAAUGACAACAGUAAGUGUAUUUUUGAUUUCAUGAAAUCUUCAGAAAUUGUUACUGCUAAUAUGAUAUUGUACAGACUUUGCAAUAGAGUCAGCACACACUAUCUCUAACAUGACUCUUAUAACAGUGUGAUACUAAAAAAAAGGUCAACUGAGAUUAGAAUAAUAGCUGCUGCUUCCUAGCUACUACAAUACACCAAACACCAUGUUACUCAUUUUAUACUCAGUUGACAGUUUUUACCACUGCCUUAGAAACGUGUUCUCUGUCUUUUAUAAGGGAAGGAAUAGAAGGUCAGGAAAUUUAAAUACUUUCUCCAAGCCACAGACCUGGUAAGUGUAUAAGAUCCUGGUAAUGUAUUUUAUACUUUGCUUUGAACUACAGCUUUUAAAUUUUGCUUGUGGCAAGGAAAAUUCAUAAACAGAUAAAAUGUGCUCAGUGGUUAUAGUGGCCAAGACCAAAUUAAAGUGACUGAAGGUACCCAAAGCUGUCUGGGCUCACCUCCUGCUCACCUGCUACGAUGUGGAUGUGGUGCCUACGCUGCUGAGUAAUGUUUUUGGUUAGAUCCUUGUGGUUUAGGAGGUUUCUUCUUUCUCCUACAGUGUCUUUCUACGUUGCCCUGCUUUCUGCCUCUGGAGUAGCUGGUUCUGCGAGCUUCUACUACCAUAACAGCUUGAACACUUGCUUAAAAUAGAAUGUGUGUUUCAUCUGUGUAGAUGAAUUCGCUGUGUUGACUAGGUAUCCCACAGUAGAACCCUUUAUCAGUAUUCAGGGCAAGCACAUUCAGGGUGUGCUUUGACCCAGCCACUGCCGGGUGCUGAAGAAACAAACACGGCCUGCUCCCAUAGGCUCUGUUGUCAUCUUAAGUGAUAUUUUAGGGGUCAGAGAGGUAGAGUGUCUUUCUUCCUUUUGACUCUAGUCCGAUACACAUGUUAACAGGUCACUACUGCGGUUCUCUGCAGAGCCUUCUGCAUAGUAUUUAAGAUGACAAAUGCAUUUCCUUAGAGGAAGUGUGAUAACUUGUGAAAAGCAUGUAAUAAUGACCCAUUGCACCUUUUUAAAAGUUUUUCACUUACUUUUAUUUUAUGUGAAUUGGUGUUUUGCUCACAUGUAUGUCUGUAUAAGGGUGUUAGAUCCUCUGGAACUGGAGUUAGAGACAGUUCCCAAAUGGGUGCUGGGCAUAGAACCUGGGUCCUGUGGAAGAGCCCCCAGUGCUCAGAACUGCUGAGCCAUCUCUCAACCCCUACCCCCUCGAACCUUUUAAUGACUUACCAAAAGUAAAAUUAUUUUCAUUUAUUCCUAUCUGGUCUGUCUCCCAAGUUUAUAUUCCUCUCUGCAAAGAGCUACCUUCAGCCAGUGAUUAAUCUUUGUUCUAUAAUGGUUUUUUUAGAUUAAAGACCAAAUCUUACAUGC